rnacentral:rRNA from 1 species
UACAGAGGUGGCUAGCGUUGUUCGGAAUUACUGGGCGUAAAGGGAGCGCAGGCGGCUAGACAAGUCUGGAGUGCAAGCCCGGGGCUCAACCCCGGAAUUGCUUUGGAUACUGUUUGGCUUGAGUACGUCAGAGGUGAGCGGAAUUCCAGGUGUAGCGGUGAAAUGCGUAGAUAUCUGGAGGAACAUCCGUGGCGAAAGCGGCUCACUGGGACGAAACUGACGCUGAGGCUCGAAAGCGUGGGGAGCGAACGGG